rnacentral:rRNA from 1 species
UAACAAGGAUUCCCCUAGUAACUGCGAGUGAAGCGGGAAAAGCUCAAAUUUAAAAUCUGGCGGCUUUGGUCGUCCGAGUUGUAUUCUAGAGAAGUGUUUUCCGCGUUGGACCGUGUAUAAGUCUCUUGGAAUAGAGCGUCAUAGAGGGUGAGAAUCCCGUCUUUGACACGGACUACCAAUGCUUUGUGAUACACUCUCAAAGAGUCGAGUUGUUUGGGAAUGCAGCUCAAAAUGGGUGGUAAAUUCCAUCUAAAGCUAAAUAUUGGCGAGAGACCGAUAGCGAACAAGUACCGUGAGGGAAAGAUGAAAAGCACUUUGGAAAGAGAGUUAAACAGUACGUGAAAUUGCUGAAAGGGAAACGCUUGAAGUCAGUCGCGUUAGCUAGAACUCAACCAGGCUUGCUUGGCGUAUUUUCUAGUUAACGGGCCAGCAUCAGUUUUGACCGCAGGAAAAGGGCCAGGGAAAUGUGGCAUCUUCGGAUGUGUUAUAGUCUCUGGUCGUAUACUGUGAUUGGGACUGAGGACCGCAGCACGCGCAAGCUGUGCUUAGGAUGCUGGCGUAA